rnacentral:lncRNA from 1 species
CCUGUUCAUCGUCAGUGCUGUUUAUUUCUGGAAGAGGAGAAACAGAAGACGAACCACACCUCUGUCGCCUAAAUCACCUUAUGUCGAUACAACUACAGAGCCUAUCACUGGAGGAAGUCCUGAUGUAUACAACAUUCAAAUCGCAAACGAAGUCAAACUUUUGAGAGCAGAAUCUGAGUCAGAUACAUAAUGAGAAUUCGAAACUUCACCCCUCUGUCUCCACCUGUUUUGGUAAUGCACUGUCUUACAUGUAUUUAUUUGCGUGUUGGGAUCUUUAGGGGAAGAUGAAAAAGAGAGUGGGGCAAUAUUUUGAAGAAGAAUAUCGAAACAUUUCUCCAUGUUACAAACAAUUGGAUUCUGUGUUCUCUCCUUAAUUAUGUGGUCACAGCUCAUGGAUGGAUCAAUGGAAACCAUAUUUGUGAUAGUUUUCUAUUAAAGUCGAAGAGAUGAAGUAGACUAAAGGAACAGUCUUACAGUGUGGCAGCAGUUUACAGCUUCAUUCAUCGAGUCGUUAAGACAGCAAAUUAUUUGGAAGAGGAAAAGUUACAAACUGAAGCAUCCUUGUCUGACCCCUGAAGUAUGGAAGCCACUUUUGGCUAGACAUCAACAUUGUCUGUCGGCGAUUAUACUGAUAAUUGAGUGGGCCUCCGGUAGAGGACGGUUGGAAUUCCUGGUACUCGGGGAAAACCCACUUCGCAAACCUGAAAGAAUAUUGUACGAAUUGGCACAUGUAGAUCAUUAAAUUUAGACACUGAGUCAGUGUCGCAGCUUGCCAGUGGCUUACAUACCGGGGGACUGUCAGACUGGGGCAUACACCCUUCCCCCAAAUCACGUGGUUACAAGGGGGUGAAUGGGAAAUAAAAGGGGGAAUGAAUGCAGAGCCCCCAUGCCCCAAAGCCCCGUCCCACUAAUUCUUCAUCUAGAACCAUACCUGCCAUCAGAUGACAUAGUAUAGCCCAAUAGAUACACACUAAUUAUUUAUUCACUUUUCUGGCAUUUGUCCAACAUGAUGCCCCCUAAUGUCAUAAUCAUAUUGAAGUAGGUCGGAACACUCCUCGUUUUUAUAUUAGAUGAGUGUCAUGUUUCCCGGUACGUGGCCUCUUCUAGUCUACAGACGGCUAGCCGAAAGGCAAGCGAAGGCAUUCAGCUCGUUGCCGCUUUCAGCGAUCAGUAUUGGUCCUCAGCCUGCAAGAUUGAAUGAAGCAUGUAUAAUUCAAAAGAUACAUGGUAUCAUCAGGGAGGUGGUAGGAAGAAUUUUUGUAAUUUAUUCAAACGCAUGCGUGACUUCUAAAGUGUAACAAUGGGAUGUGUAACUUUCCACUUGGAUUUGAAGUUCCGUGCUCCAUUUUCUGAUGUAGGAAUUCUAAAUCCUGAUAUUGCGUGCACUCUUCUAUUUCACCACCUGGUCAACAGUUGCAGAUUAGCGCAUAACUUUUCGGCGGCUUGGAGCAUGGGGUUAAAGGAAAGCGGCUUGAUUCUACUCCUUCCUAUCACCUCCCUGGUGUCAUAAUGUCUGGUUAUGUAUUAUUGACUGGUACGGCGUCACGCGAAUUAUUUAUUUGUGUGUAACUGCGAGUAAUAAAAACAGAUAGGGUACAUUAGUAGGAACGCGAUUGGGAUACAAUCUAACUAUUGUUGUUAAUUUAAUCAAACUUUAUCACACUUUGUCGUUUUUCGACUUAUUCAAGAGCAGAAAUGUAAACUAUUAUACAUCGGUCACAUCAACGAGGCCGACUAAAGACCGAGCAAAGAAUGACAUUACCCCCAAAAGCCCAAACCUGGUCGGUCUGGGGUCGGUAUGGCAGUGUGACCGAGGUAUAACUAAUUAGGCCUACUACAGAUUCUGUUUACAGCAAUAAAAGAAGUAACAGAUCGAGCCUCCGUAGUGUAGUUCCUACUUUUUCAACGAAAUUGGAGAUUUAUGUAUAAUCAAUGGAUGUCUCUCCUUUAGACAAUCAUUGUACUGGCUAUUGGAAUAUUGUAUUGUGUUAAAGUGCAUCAUAACAAAUUGUUCAUUCACCUGUAACGAAUAAUUGUUGAACAUCAAUGGUCAAUAAGCAAAUUGCAAACUUAAGUUUCCACGUGUUGUUUUGUAGAGCAAGUCAUAUGUUUGUCCGACCUAGCACCAACCGAUACAUUUUGCAUUCUGACUAUUGCGAUCAUAUGACAAGUGAGAAUAAUAAUAGCUCGUAGCUAAGUGAUUAUAUAUAAAUUUGCAAUACAUUUAGAAAAUUGACUUGUUUGAAUUGACGAUUGUACAAACACGAUGUGUCAUAAACACGGUUUUAAUGCGUGUCAUUCAAAAGAAGGACCUGAUUUCUUGUUAUUUGUACAAUAUGAAAUAAACAGGUGAAUAGCAUGCAUGGGCCCUGGUGCCCUUAAACUUUAGACUGUAUUAUUUACCAUGCUGUGUACAUAAAUAAUACAGAUCGAUUCUCUGUCGAUAUUGUUCUGUACCAGGUUUGAUUGAGGCUAACAUCUUAGACAUACAUGUAGUUCAUUUCAUAUUUAAAGGUCAUAUGGAGCCCCGUUGCAUAAAACUUGAAAUUGGUGGUGACUUUGCCAUCAUCAUUCACUACCAUGGCAACAUCACUCAACAGUGCAUUCUUUAUCUUCCAAUCAAAUCAAAGUUCCAAUGGAAGUUACCAUUAAUGGCCAAGUAAUCAUUAAUGUCCUAGUUACCAUUGUUAGUAAGUUCUAUUCAUCGGCCGGGGGCCCUGUGGGCAUUCUAGUGGAGAAAGCACUGCAUUCAGAAGUACCGGAUUCGAGUCCUGAGUAGGAGAAGCGUAUCAUUACAUGUUUUUUUGAAGUCGAGAAACUCACGUAGAUUUGCCACUCCCCACCCAGGAAAGAAUUGAAUUUUUGGUACAGGAUGGUAAUGUUUGCAGUAAAAAAAAUGCCUGUACUGUUACAUGUAUAUUAUCUGACCUACACUUACAUUCGAUAGCAUAAUAUGUUUACCACACGACCAUAUUGUUCACAUGUAUAAUCGUAAUUAAAGUUUUAAUAUUAAAAAAGGGGGAGGGGGAGGGAGGUGGUCUUCAAAAGCAAAACUUGAGCUGACAAACGAACAAACACAAAGACUCAACUGGGUGUGCAAUAAACGAUUUCAAAUUCAUAGGCUGCUUUUGCAACGGCGUUGAAAAUAGAAAUAAAUGGUAUUUAUUUGUUGUGGCACCUUUAUACAACAAGAAGACCAAGAAUAUAGUUUCAGUAAACCUAGAAUAUAAACAAAACUAUUUAAUAUUCGAGAAAAACGGCAAACAUAGAGGGUCGCAUGCAGGCAGAAGAUUCUUCAUCUGAAUUUAUCGUUGUACAUAUUACAUCAAAGAGUGUCAUGGUAUACAAGUCGUUUCUGUGUAAGUAAAUAACUCUAUGUUAAUGUAUAUCAUGUUUUGUAGAGAACAUAGUAAUUUUCUGUACGACAGUACCAUGGGUUUUAUAACUUUGUUUAUCUGGACGACGAUUAGUGUUAUAUAUUUUUGUUAGCAAUUUUAUUUAAAAAAAAGAGGUUGACGGAAUCUAUUUCUUCAUGAACAGAUAUUUGAAAGGUAUGUUCAUAUAUACCUGUACAUGCAAUUGUAUAUUUCUCAUGUAGUAAAAUUAUAAUUGAGACCCAGACACUGGAGCAUAAUAAUAGUUUUCUUAUAAUGUGGGAAUAUAUAAGAAAACAAAUGCAUCCUUUAGGGAAAGUCGUCCAAGCUCAGGAAGAAAAUGGAGAGAAAAAAGAGAAGAAUAAUUUGAAACACCUCAAAAGACUAAAGAGGAGAAGAAUAGAAAAGAAGAACUAACAGAGCCGUAAGAAUAAGGAGGAGGACAGGAAGAAGACGAAGAAUGAAGAA